CGUGUAGGCGGGAAUACAAGUCAGAUGUGAAAUACUGCGGCUCAACUGCAGAAUGGCAUCUGAAACUGUACUUCUUGAGUACUGGAGAGGAAAGCGGAAUUCCUAGUGUAGCGGUGAAAUGCGUAGAUAUUAGGAGGAACACCGGUGGCGAAGGCGGCUUUCUGGACGGUAACUGACGCUGAGACGCGAAAGCGUGGGGAGCAAACAGGAUUAGAUACCCUGGUAGUCC
rnacentral:rRNA from 1 species